rnacentral:rRNA from 1 species
AUUGAACGCUGGCGGCAGGCCUAACACAUGCAAGUCGAGCGAGCGGCGGACGGGUGAGUAAUGUAUGGGGACUGCCCGUUAGAGGGGGAUAACUACUGGAAACGGUGGCUAAUACCGCAUACUAUCGGAUAACCCAUAUGGGAUUAGCUAGUAGGUGGGGUAAAGGCUCACCUAGGCGACGAUCUCUAGCUGGUCUGAGAGGAUGAUCAGCAACACGGGGACUGGAACACGGCCAAAACUCCUACGGAGGAAGCAGUGGGGAAUAUUGCACAAGGGGCGAAAGCCUGAUGCAGCAAGGCCGCGUGUAUGAAGAAGGCCUUAGGGUUGUAAAGUACUUUAAGCGGGGAGGCGUUACCCGCAUAGGAAGCAACGGCUAACUCCGUGCCAGCAGCCGCGGUAAUAC